rnacentral:rRNA from 1 species
CAAUAGCGUAUAUUAAAGUUGUUGCAGUUAAAAAGCUCGUAGUUGGAUUUGUGGUGUACUUUGGCGGCCCGUCACUAUGUGAUGGAGCUUGCUGAAGUCGCCAUCCUUGGGUGGAUCCUGUGUGGCAUUAAGUUGUCGUGCAGGGGAUGCCCAUCGUUUACUGUGAAAAAAUUAGAGUGUUCAAAGCAGGCUUAUGCCGUUGAAUAUAUUAGCAUGGAAUAAUAAGAUAGGACCUUGGUACUAUUUUGUUGGUUUGCGCACCAAGGUAAUGAUUAAUAGGGACAGUUGGGGGUAUUCGUAUUUCAUUGUCAGAGGUGAAAUUCUUGGAUUUUUGAAAGACAAACUACUGCGAAAGCAUUUACCAAGGAUGUUUUCAUUAA